rnacentral:rRNA from 1 species
UGGGGAAUAUUGGACAAUGGGCGAAAGCCUGAUCCAGCCAUGCCGCGUGUGUGAAGAAGGUCUUCGGAUUGUAAAGCACUUUAAGUUGGGAGGAAGGGCAGUAAGCGAAUACCUUGCUGUUUUGACGUUACCGACAGAAUAAGCACCGGCUAACUCUGUGCCAGCAGCCGCGGUAAUACAGAGGGUGCAAGCGUUAAUCGGAAUUACUGGGCGUAAAGCGCGCGUAGGUGGUUCGUUAAGUUGAAUGUGAAAGCCCCGGGCUCAACCUGGGAACUGCAUCCAAAACUGGCGAGCUGGAGUAGGGCAGAGGGUGGUGGAAUUUCCUGUGUAGCGGUGAAAUGCGUAGAUAUAGGAAGGAACACCAGUGGCGAAGGCGACCACCUGGGCUCAUACUGACACUGAGGUGCGAAAACGUGGGGAGCAAACAGG